rnacentral:rRNA from 1 species
CCUACGGGGCGCUGCAGUGGGGAAUAUUGGACAAUGGGCGAAAGCCUGAUCCAGCCAUGCCGCGUGUGUGAAGAAGGCCUUCGGGUUGUAAAGCACUUUCAGUGGGGAAGAAAGCCUUGGGGCUAAUACCCUCGAGGAAGGACAUCACCCACAGAAGAAGCACCGGCUAACUCCGUGCCAGCAGCCGCGGUAAUACGGAGGGUGCGAGCGUUAAUCGGAAUUACUGGGCGUAAAGCGCGCGUAGGCGGUCUGAUAAGCCGGUUGUGAAAGCCCCGGGCUCAACCUGGGAACGGCAUCCGGAACUGUCAGGCUAGAGUGCAGGAGAGGAAGGUAGAAUUCCCGGUGUAGCGGUGAAAUGCGUAGAGAUCGGGAGGAAUACCAGUGGCGAAGGCGGCCUUCUGGACUGACACUGACGCUGAGGUGCGAAAGCGUGGGUAGCAAACAGGAUUAGAUACCCCAGUAGUC